UGCUGCAGCUGGUGUUGUGAAUCAGGCCGACGAGCAGCGCAUCCUCUUACCCGGCGAUUUCACGACACCAGGGUUGCA
rfam:Tupaia chinensis contig52843, whole genome shotgun sequence.